rnacentral:rRNA from 1 species
UACAGAGGGUGCUAGCGUUGUUCGGAAUUAUUGGGCGUAAAGGGCGCGUAGGCGGUUUCGCAUGUCCGAUGUGAAAGCCCACCUCUUAAAGGUGGAAUUGCAUCGGAAACUGCGAGACUAGAGUGCCGGAGAGGGUGGUGGAAUUCCUGGUGUAGAGGUGAAAUUCGUAGAUAUCAGGAGGAACACCGGUGGCGAAGGCGGCCACCUGGACGGUUACUGACGCUGAGACGCGAAAGCGUGGGGAGCAAACAGG